ACAGAGGGCAGCCAAGUCGUGAGGCGGAGCUAAUCCCUUAAAGCCAUUCCCAGUUCGGAUUGUAGGCUGAAACUCGCCUACAUGAAGCUGGAGUUACUAGUAAUCGCAGAUCAGAAUGCUGCGGUGAAUGCGUUCCCGGGUCUUGUACACACCGCCCGUCACACCACGGAAGUUGGGGGCGCCCGAAGCCACUUAGCUAACCCUUUUGGGAAGCGAGUGUCGAAGGUGAAAUCAAUAACUGGGGUGAAGUCGUAACAAGGUAAC
rnacentral:rRNA from 1 species